AUACGGCCUCAAUAUAAUGGUAAGUCCCAACAAAAUAGGAAAAUUCCUUACAAGUAGUUGACAAACUUAAAUGAGUUACAAAUCAGGAGAUAAGAUAACCUACCUGAAUAAUUAAAAAUUAGGAAAGAAUAAGUAAAAAUCUAAACAGAAAUUGUGUCGAACUCCUAUUAAAAAGAGAAUGUAUCAACUCCUCCCCCUUAAAUUUCACCCUUGAUUAUCUCUUGAUAUUCCCAUGUUGCAUCAACAGAAGAUAAGCCCUUCCAAUGAAUCAGAACUUCAUGCAUAUCAUUCCAUAUUCGACGAUCAAGAACAACUUGUGGUAUUGGAAAAUUCUUUUCUUCUUCCAUACUCACCAAAGGCAGGCUUGACCGUAACAUUAUCUCCUAUCAUCUUCUUCAAUUAGAGAUACAUGUAACAUUGGGUGGAUCUGGGAACCUGAUGGAAAAUCCAAUUUAUAAGCUACUACCUCUAUCCUCUGUUGAAUAUUCAAUGGACCAUAAUACUUGGCAAAUAGCUUGAAGUUGCUUCUCAUUGUCACAAAGAGUUGCCUAUAUGGCUAUAGUGUCAAAUACAUCACAUCCCUAAUUGAAAAUUCUCAUUCUUUAUGCUUAGUCAUAGACUUGCCUCAUUCUAGAUUGAACUUCUCUGAUCUUCUCCCUUAAUUUCUUGAUAAUGCCUAUAUGGCUAUAGUUACCAAUCUAAUAGUUCUGGAAUACAUAAAAUGCAGGCAAAUCAAUUUUUAUAAAUGGGCAUACGUCUGGCGCAUUUAGAAAGAUUAUAUUAAUGUGUACUUUUGUGAGGCCUUGUUUUGAAUCAGUUGUUUGUUAAAAUAAAGUUUGUUUUAAUUGUUUGGAAUUGUCCUCCUUUUGCUGCUGCUUUCCUGUGUAUUCUUUUCCAUCUUCUGUGAAGAAGUUAAAUUUUACAAUAACGCUGCAGUGACCAAAUUUGAUUAUCAAACUUUGGAUACCAUCUGAUGUGUCAUUAAUGCUUUGAUCAGGAGAAUCAACAAGUUGAGGGAGAUACUUGGCAUGAUCUUGCUUUGGGAACUCAUUCUCAAUGAGACUUACUGUGCAAUUGCGGGCUUUGAUUCUAGUUUUGACCAAAAGACUUGAUUAGUCGUUUCUACCAAAGUAGUUGGUUGUUUUUUGUGGGUUUAAUGCUUGUAAUUGAAGUUCUGCUUUUAUUUUCUUUUUCCUUUUAUCGUUUGUGAAAAACUUGGAUCUGAUGUUCAGGUAGAUGUGGAUUGUAAUAACCGGCUAUACUCAAGGUGGGUUUAUAAGUUCUAUUGCAUGGCUCUGAGGGAUUGUUUUGCAUUUGAUUUAUGUGAGCUGCACCUUUCCAUCAA